CUGCGCAUGAAUAACAACGUUUAAAGGAUUACUGUGUCCUGCUUAGAGGCACAGGAACCUUUUCUACGGACAGAAUGCAUUUAUAUGAUUUAUGCAUUAUUUGCGUCAAUAUUUAUUGAUAUUCUGAUUGUAAAUGCAUUAUGUAAUAACCCAGAAUAUUUUAUUAGGCUAAAUGUUUCAGGGACAAAACGUAAUUUAGAUCAAACCUGACGCUCGGGAAGGAUCAGCCUGAACGGACAUGACGAUAAAUAAAAAUAUAAAAAGUGUUUAUUGCUGAAACUCUCCUACUAUUUCUGAAAUUAAAUUGAAUCCAUAAUAAAAGCUAAUGGGUGAAAUAAUUCAAUCCAUAAUCCGAUCAUUAAGAGAAAAAACGUUUAAUAAAUGAAGAAAAAAUGGUUUGUUCUCCGUUUAGUUGUUUAGAUGUACAAUUAACAGAUAUUUACUAGAUGGUAAAUCAGAAAACAAACGCAAUUCAACGCUUUAGAGUGAUGCCCUUGAGUUUGAUCUGUUAUCUGUCUUCACUGCGGUAUGAAACUCCAGUGAUGUUGAGAUGCAUCAGAGCAGUGCGAUCAGCGGCGGCGUCCAAUCAAUAACUGAUAUUCAAUUAGGGGGCGAGUCGGCUGUAAAAGACUUCCACCAAGGCUGCUCUCGUGUAUCCUCGCUCAUCGCUCCUCCGAGCAGAAAUAAGAGCUUUGGGACGGUCUUCAAGAACGACUUCCUGUUCAACUGUCUUUAGUGUACCCGGUGGUGUUCUGUAUGUGUACUGUUUUCCUGGUGGCAGUUCCUCUCUAUAGCGAUACCGUCAACUCCCUGAUUGGCAUUGCUCUGUCAGGGGUCCCUGUCUACUUCCUGGGCAUCUACCAACCAGAGUCCAAACGGCCGCCUAUCAUCACCAAGCUACUGCGGUUUCUGACUUACUGCACCCAGCACACCUGCUACUGUGUACUGACAGAGAUGGACAAAAGUGAAUAGCGUCCGAUACACUUCAAAACUUGAUCCAGCAGUCUCUGCAUCCUCACCAGGGUUCUUCUGUGGG